CAAAAGAGAGAGGCCACGCAGCCCUCUUACGAACCGCAUCGAACUCCUUUUCGCCGCCGCCGCAGCCAUUCAUGGCGGGGCGCCGCCGGGGAGGAUUCGAACAUUAACCCAUGCUAUUCUCCACCCUGCCCUGCAAAUCCCAAGCUCCUGCGGCCGCCGCCGCCGCCGUAGCAACUAUCUCCAGCCCCCGACUCUCGUCCUCGUCGCCGGCGCUUAUCCCUCCGCCGCAUCACGACGACAACCCAUUCGCGCCACUCCUCACUUCCGAUCCCCCUCUGCCGGAUCCGCUCCGUCGGGUUCUCGCCACGGGCGACGUCCACGUCGCGCUUCGCGGCCUCCCGGGCCUCGCGCGCCAGCUGUUCCGGUGGGCGGAGGGCACCCCGCACGGCUUCCCGCGCUCCGCCUCCGCAUUCGCCGCCGUCCUAUUCCCGCUCGCCGAGGCUGGCCACAACCGCGCCGUCUAUCCCGUCUCCCUCCGCGCUCUCCACCUCGGACUGCUCCUCCCCCUCGUCUCUCUCAUCCUCACCUAUCCACUCUCCCCCACCUCCCACCAGCUCCUCAACAGUCUCUUACGCAUGUCCACCAAGUUCUCGGCUGAAUGCCAAGCUCAGAAAUCCGUGCCCGCCAGCUGUUCGACGCAAUGCCUUUCAGCCUUCCAAGAGAUGGCGCGUCAUGGCGUGGCCCCUUUCGUCAAGGAGUGCAACUGUGUACUCCGUGUGCUGCGUGAUGCGGCCAGGUGGGAUGACAUGCGUGCUGUGUAUUCAGAUAUGCUCCAACUUGGGGUUGAGCCGAGCAUUUUCACAUACAAUACAUUGCUGGAUUCUUUCUGUAAGGCAGGGAGGAUGGAUCAGGCUGUCGCGCUGCUCAAGGAUAUGGAGGCCCGAGCGGCUGGGUGCUUGCCGAAUGAUGUUACGUACAAUGUUGUGAUUAAUGGCUUGGCCAGGAAAGGUGAACUGGAGAAGGCGGCUCAGCUGGUUGAUAUAAUGCGGCUGUCCAAGAAAGCAUCAGCCUUCACGUAUAAUCCACUUAUCACUGGGCUCUUAGCAAGGGAUUUUGUUGAAAAGGCUGGAGCUUUGCUGUUGGAGAUGGAGAAUGAGGGCAUUGUGCCAACAGUGGUGACAUACAAUACAUUGAUUGAUGGGCUGUUUAAAACAGGAAAUGCGGAGGCGGCACAGGUGAAAUUUGAUGAAAUGAGAGCAAAGGGUUUGCUGCCAGAUUUGAUUACAUACAAUUCUCUAAUAAAUGGAUAUUGUAAGGCAGGGAAUUUAAAGCAGGCACUUUGUUUGUUUGGUGAUUUGAAGCGUGCAGGGUUAGGACCAACAGUUUUGACAUAUAACAUCCUUAUAGAUGGUUAUUGUAGAUUAGGUGAUUUAGAGGGGGCUAGGAGACUCAAGGAGGAGAUGACAGAGGAGGACUGCCUGCCUGAUGUUUGUACAUAUACUAUUCUUAUGAAUGGUUCAUGUAUGGUGAGGAACCUUGCUAUGGUAAGGAUCUUCUUUGAUGAAAUGCUGAGCAAAGGAUUAGAGCCAGAUUGCUUUGCUUACAACACGAGGAUUUCCGCAGAGCUGACUAUAGGUGCUAUUACCAAUGCUUUUCAGCUGAGGGAGGAGAUGAUGCUAAGAGGAAUUUCUUCUGAUACAGUUACAUAUAAUGUACUUAUUGAUGGAUUGUGUAAGACUGGUAGCCUGAAAGAUGCAUAUGUGUUGUGGAUGAAGAUGGUCACUGAUGGUUUACGGCUUGACUGUGUCACAUACACUUGCUUGAUUCAUGCACAUUGUGAGAGGGGGCGCCUAAUAGAAGCAAAGAAUAUUUUUGAUGGCAUGGUUGCAAGUGGUUUGUCACCCUCAGUUGUGACCUAUACUAUUUUUAUUCACACAUAUUGUAGAAGGGGAAAUCUUUAUUUGGCAUAUGGUUGGUUUCGGAAGAUGCUGGAGGAAGGAGUGGAACCCAAUGAAGUAACAUAUAAUGUUCUCAUGCAUGCACUUUGCAGGAUGGGGAGAACUGAAUCGGCUUAUCAACAUUUUCAUGAGAUGCUGGAGAGGGGAUUGGUGCCAAACAAAUACACAUACACUCUGUUGAUAGAUGGGAGCUGUAAAGAAGGUAACUGGGUGCAUGCUAUAAGGUUGUACUGUGAAAUGCAUCAGAAAGGUAUUCAUCCAGACCAUUGCACACAUAAUGCCUUGUUUAAGGGAUUUGGAGAAGGCCACAUGUAUGAUGCAGUUCAAUAUCUGGAGAAUGUUGUUUUGGGUACAUAGGUCGGUCUUCAAGAAAGGAUUAUCUUGGCGGAAAAUCCUCAUAUCUUGAUUUUUGUUUUCAAUCAGGAGAUGGCAGAUUGAACUUGGGGCAACAGUCUCUUGAUAAUGGAUCUGGAUGCUUGCCAAACAGAUACUUAAGCACAAUUGCACAAACAGUUAAUUGGCCAAACCACAUAAGCAUUUGGUGUUUCAGUUAUUUGUCCUCUAAAGCCACUGCACACUUCCCUAAACCACUGGUGGAUUUCGGAAUGCUAGCCAGGAGGGGACUGCUGAACGAUGGCAACUGUGUUCUGCUCAUUACAUGAUGAAACCGUCGAUCAUCUUUUGGUCCGCUGUGGAAUCAAUAACAUAAUCUGGGGCGGAAUUGCUGCCUUGGAAAGGUCUACAAGCCUGCACUCCAAGGCUAUGGUGUGGCUCAGUCCUCGGUGGAUUUAGUCCAGAAAAAAUGAUUUGCAGAAGAAGCAGGAGGGGAUUUGACUUCUUCGUCCUGAUGAUAGCCUGGGCAAUUUUGAAGAAAAUGAACUUCACAGUGAACAAAGCCUGGUCAUUCAGCAGCUAAGGAUGACAUUCAGGAUUAAUGCGCUGGGUGGUGUGAGGUGACUGAGGUCGGUUCUAGGGAUGAUCAAUAGCUUCUUCUCAGUGACCGGGUAGAAAUUAUUUAGGCGAGUAAUUCCCUAGCUAGCCAUGCUUUUGUACAGUUUACCUUUUGUUUGUUUAUUGUUUCUUUCCAUGGCUUGCUUCAAUCCAAAUCUGGCGGAUUGUUGCUAGGUUUGGUGCCGAAGUUGUAAGUGUUGUUUCCCCUAAUCCCAUGACAUGCCGGCCUAUUGCAUGUUCUCUAAAAGAAGUUGUAGGUGUUAUUUGUGGUAUGAUCUACUGCACCUGAAUUAUAUCUCUUGGAAGACUCAAAUAGUCAAA